UGCGCGAAAGCCUGACCCAGCAACGCCGCGUGAUUGAAGAAGGUCUUCGGAUUGUAAAGAUCUGUCCUAUGGGACGAAGAAGUGACGGUACCAUAGGAGGAUGCCCCGGCUAACUACGUGCCAGCAGCCGCGGUAAUACGUAGGGGGCGAGCGUUGUCCGGAAUUACUGGGCGUAAAGGGUGCGCAGGCGGCGUGCUAAGUCAGAUGUGAAAUAUNCGGGCUUAACCUGGAGGGUGCAUUUGAAACUGGCAGGCUUGAGUGCAGGAGAGGAAAGUGGAAUUCCUAGUGUAGCGGUGAAAUGCGUAGAUAUUAGGAGGAACACCAGUGUCGAAGGCGACUUUCUGGACUGUAACUGACGCUGAGGCACGAAAGCGUGGGGAGCAAACAGGAUUAGAUACCCUGGUAGUCCACGCUGUAAACGAUGGAUACUAGGUGUAGGGGGCGAUAGCUCUCUGUGCCGCAGCAAACCCAAUAAGUAUCCCGCCUGGGGAGUACGAUCGCAAGGUUGAAACUCAAAGGAAUUGACGGGGGCCCGCACAAGCAGCGGAGCAUGUGGUUU
rnacentral:rRNA from 1 species